CAGCUUUAAUUCUCCAUGCUUUGAAAAAACGCUUUCAUUUUCUUGCAGUGCUCAAGCGCCUACCGUGAAAACUGAGGAAUUUGAAUACAGAAGCUGACAACAAUCGGCCAUCAAUAGGCUGCAACAGUUGCAUAGUUUACAAUGCUAUUUGCAUACUUACAGUGUUUUAAUCGAGAAUGUGACCUAUUCAUCUUGUCUAAUUAAUCCCAUUAUCCUGCAUUUUAUAUGUUGUAUUCACUACUAUUGAAAUCCUCUUCACUAUGCUACAAUUUUAGAUAUUCACAAUAUAUCUCUACAACAAACGGUCCUAACA